rnacentral:rRNA from 1 species
GGACCUGACUGCUAUCGGAUUGAUANUAAGCCAUGCGAGUCAUUGUAGCAAUACGAGGCAUACGGCUCAGUAACGCGUAGUCAACCUAACCUAUGGACGGGAAUAACCUCGGGAAACUGAGAAUAAUGCCCGAUAGAACAUUAUGCCUGGAAUGGUUUAUGUUCCAAAUGAUUUAUCGCCGUAGGAUGGGACUGCGGCCUAUCAGUUUGUUGGUGAGGUAAUGGCCCACCAAGACUAUUACAGGUACGGGCUCUGAGAGGAGUAGCCCGGAGAUGGGUACUGAGACACGGACCCAGGCCCUAUGGGGCGCAGCAGGCGAGAAAACUUUGCAAUGUGCGAAAGCACGACAAGGUUAAUCCGAGUGGUUUCUGCUAAAGAAACCUUUUGUCAGUCCUAGAAACACUGAUGAAUAAGGGGUGGGCAAGUUCUGGUGU